UAUGUGAUCGUCUCUCGCAUAUCAAUAAGCGGAGGAAAAGAAACUAACAAGGAUUCCCCUAGUAACGGCGAGUGAAGCGGGAAGAGCUCAAAUUUGAAAUCUUAAAGGGUUUCCCUUUACGAAUUGUAGUUUAAAGAAGUGUUUUCUGUUGAGGUUUUGGUAAAAGUUCUUUGGAAUAGGACAUCAUAGAGGGUGAGAAUCCCGUAUUUGACCUUUACCUUCAACUUUGUGAUACACUUUCAAAGAGUCGGAUUGUUUGGGAAUGCAGUCCAAAAUGGGUGGUAAAUUUCAUCUAAAGCUAAAUAUUGGCGAGAGACCGAUAGCGAACAAGUACCGUGAGGGAAAGAUGAAAAGAACUUUGAAAAGAGAGUUAAACAGUACGUGAAAUUGUCAAAAGGGAAGCGUUUGACACCAGUGUUGUUUUUCUGAAAAUCAAUUAAAGAACUGUUUAUGCUAAGUUGUUUAGACUUUAUCAGCUAACUGUUUAGUUUUGAGCUUUUCUUUAAUGCACUUUUCAGUUAACAAGUCAACAUCAAUUUCUUUUGCUGUAAAAAAGCUUGAGGAAGGUGGCUUGAGAUUCGUCUUAAGUGUUUAUAGCCUCUUGCCUAUGCAGUCGGAGAGAUUGAGGUCUGCAGCGUAGAUCCUUCGGGGCUAAAUGCAGUUUGUGCUAAGUUAUAGCAUUUUAUAGACAACUUGUUGACUAUGAUUUGUCUUGUAGCUUACUCGCUUAUGUUAUUUUACCUACGCUUAGGAUGUUGAUCUACAGAGCGAGAGU
rnacentral:rRNA from 1 species